rnacentral:rRNA from 1 species
UGCCAGCCGCCGCGGUAAUACGGAAGGUGCGAGCGUUAAUCGGAAUCACUGGGCGUAAAGCGCACGUAGGCGGACUUUUAAGUCAGGGGUGAAAUCCCGGAGCUCAACUCCGGAACAGCCUUUGAUACUGGAAGUCUUGAGUCCGAGAGAGGUGAGUGGAACUCCGAGUGUAGAGGUGAAAUUCGUAGAUAUUCGGAAGAACACCAGUGGCGAAGGCGGCUCACUGGCUCGGUACUGACGCUGAGGUGCGAAAGCGUGGGGAGCAAACAGGAUUAGAUA